UGGGGAAUAUUGGACAAUGGGGGCAACCCUGAUCCAGCAAUGCCGCGUGUGUGAAGAAGGUCUUCGGAUUGUAAAGCACUUUCGACGGGGACGAUGAUGACGGUACCCGUAGAAGAAGCCCCGGCUAACUUCGUGCCAGCAGCCGCGGUAAUACGAAGGGGGCUAGCGUUGCUCGGAAUGACUGGGCGUAAAGGGCGUGUAGGCGGUUUACACAGUCAGAUGUGAAAUCCCCGGGCUUAACCUGGGAGCUGCAUUUGAUACGUGUAGACUAGAGUGUGAGAGAGGGUUGUGGAAUUCCCAGUGUAGAGGUGAAAUUCGUAGAUAUUGGGAAGAACACCGGUGGCGAAGGCGGCAACCUGGCUCAUGACUGACGCUGAGGCGCGAAAGCGUGGGGAGCAAACAGGUUAGAUACCCUGGUAGUCCGCGCUGUAAACGAUGUGUGCUAGAUGUUGGGUAACUUUGUUAUUCAGUGUCGCAGUUAACGCGUUAAGCACACCGCCUGGGGAGUACGGCCGCAAGGU
rnacentral:rRNA from 1 species